rnacentral:rRNA from 1 species
CCUACGGGAGGCAGCAGUGAGGAAUAUUGGUCAAUGGACGAGAGUCUGAACCAGCCAAGUAGCGUGAAGGAUGACUGCCCUAUGGGUUGUAAACUUCUUUUAUAUGGGAAUAAAAUGUUCCACGUGUGGGAUUUUGUAUGUACUAUAUGAAUAAGGAUCGGCUAACUCCGUGCCAGCAGCCGCGGUAAUACGGAGGAUCCGAGCGUUAUCCGGAUUUAUUGGGUUUAAAGGGAGCGUAGGUGGAUUGUUAAGUCAGUUGUGAAAGUUUGCGGCUCAACCGUAAAAUUGCAGUUGAUACUGGCAGGCUUGAGUACAGUAGAGGUGGGCGGAAUUCGUGGUGUAGCGGUGAAAUGCUUAGAUAUCACGAAGAACUCCGAUUGCGAAGGCAGCUCACUGGACUGCAACUGACACUGAGGCUCGAAAGUGUGGGUAUCAAACAGGAUUAGAUACCCCUGUAGUC